rnacentral:rRNA from 1 species
CUGAAACUCAAAGGAAUUGACGGGGGCCCGCACAAGCGGUGGAGCAUGUGGUUCAAUUCGACGCAACGCGAAGAACCUUACCUGGGCUCGAAGCGCAGUGGAAUCCGGUGGAAACAUCGGCGCCCCGCAAGGGGCCGCUGCGGAGGUGCUGCAUGGCUGUCGUCAGCUCGUGUCGUGAGAUGUUGGGUUAAGUCCCGCAACGAGCGCAACCCUUAUCCCUAGUUGCCAUCGGGUCAAGCCGGGCACUCUAGUGAAACUGCCUCGGAUAACGAGGAGGAAGGUGGGGAUGACGUCAAGUCCUCAUGGCCUUUAUGUCCAGGGCUACACACGUGCUACAAUGGUCGGUACAAACCGUCGCAAACCCGUGAGGGGGAGCUAAUCGGAAAAAGCCGGCCUCAGUUCGGAUUGGAGUCUGCAACUCGACUCCAUGAAGCUGGAAUCGCUAGUAAUCGCGGAUCAGAACGCCGCGGUGAAUACGUUCCCGGGCCUUGUACACACCGCCCGUCACAUCACGAAAGUGGGCCGUACUAGAAGCAGGUGUGCUAACCGCAAGGAGGCAGCCUUCCAAGGUACAGCUCAUGAUUGGGGUG